rnacentral:RNase_P_RNA from 1 species
CGAGUCGGCCGGGUGAUCGCGGCAGCAGCUGAGGAAAGUCCGGACUCCACAGGGCAGCGUGGUGGGUAACGCCCACCCGGGGUGACCCGCGGGACAGUGCCACAGAGAACAGACCGCCGCCGGCGACGGCGGUAAGGGUGAAACGGCGGUGUAAGAGACCACCAGCACCCCAGGCGACUGGGGUGGCUCGGCAAACCCCACCCGGAGCAAGACCAAGAAGGGCCCGGUCCUCGGAUCGGGCCCGCGGACGCCGCUCGAGCGUUGCCCGCGCGAGGCGUCCGGGUAGGUCGCACGCCCUCGGGCGAAGGCCGCCGGCAACGGCGGUCGCAGAUGGAUGAUCACCGGCCCCUCGGGGUCACAGAAUCCGGCUUACAGGCCGACUCGUCCU